GAUGAACGCUGGCGGCGUGCUUAACACAUGCAAGUCGAGCGAGAAGUUUUGAACAGAUUCUUCGGAUGCAAUUUAAAAUGGAAAGCGGCGGACGGGUGAGUAACGCGUAGGCACCCUGCCCCAUACAAAGGGAUAGCAUUUGGAAACGAAUAUUAAUACCUUAUGAAACUUACCUAGUGCAUGCUAGGUAGGUCAAAGAUUUAUCGGUAUGGGAUGGGCCUGCGUCUGAUUAGCUAGUUGGUGAGGUAACGGCUCACCAAGGCGACGAUCAGUAGCCGACCUGAGAGGGUGAACGGCCACAUUGGAACUGAGACACGGUCCAAACUCCUACGGGAGGCAGCAGUGGUGAAUAUUGCACAAUGGGGGAAACCCUGAUGCAGCAACGCCGCGUGAACGAUGAAGGCCUUUGGGUCGUAAAGUUCUGUUCUAGGUGAUGAAAACUGACAGUAACCUAGGAGAAAGCCCCGGCUAACUCCGU
rnacentral:rRNA from 1 species